rnacentral:lncRNA from 1 species
GACUAAAUUACCUUUGAAUUAGACGGAUGCCCUUUGACACCUAUUGGAUUUAAAAAAAUUACAUAAAGUGAUAAUUGAUAGAAGGCAAGAUUCAAAACUCUAACCGCCCAUCUCACAAAAUCUUAAGUACUUUUUGUGGUUUAACAAGUAGCGUACAUAUACAGGUAUAAUCUAUCCUUGCAUCUUUGUCAUGAUAAGAAAUCUAUCUGGUCAUUUCUUUCCCUCCAGCUUGCGUUUUUCUCAACCCAGUCGGAAGCCAUUGAAAGCAUGGCAAGUGAACAAUUGAGUGGUAGGUGGUCUCUUAAUGGAAUGACUGCCUUGUUACUGGUGGCACCAGAGGCAUUGGGUAAGCAAAUUUCUUCAAAUAUAGUUCCUGGUAUUUAUAUUUAUAUCAAAAAAUUAGUAAAUUCAUUUCAACAUUAGUUUUUUCAUUCACUCCUCAAAAGGGUAUGUUAACUGUUAAGAACCAAUUGGACAGCUUUAAAUGAGCAGAAAAACCUACUCAAUCACGGUCAUAUCUCGUUUCGUAUACAUAAAUCCUUGCUUCCUUCACUUGUUCUAGUAUAUAUGUGCGAUUAUGUUCCUAGUAGCUUUAAUGCAACAUUCAAAAUGCGUGUCCCCAUUUAACUAUUUGACCCAAAAUUUCAGGCAUUCCAUAGUGGAAGAGUUAGCAGGAUUUGGAGCCAUAGUAUACACAUGUUCAAGAAACCAAAAGGAACUUAAUGAAUGGCUGCAAGAAUGGGGAGGAAAGGGUUUCAAAGUCUAUGGUUCAACUUGCGAUUUGGCUUCAAGAACAGAAAGAGAGGAACUAAUGAAGAACGUCUCUUCCACCUUCGACGGCAAGCUGAACAUACUGGUAAGUACAAAUUUUGAUCCAUAAAAAUGGUUGGUCCAUCUAUUUCUUGACUUGUUAAAGAAUCAUAAACAUUAUUUCUGUUUAGAGUUUUAGUAUUUGCAUCCAAAGUAAUUCUUAGGGGAAAUAUUUCGGAUAUCUUGGUUUGAAUUAAUUUCCCAAAUGCGGACUGCGGUGCAGAUAUUUUUUAGGAUGUGCCGGCUGAAAGUGAAUGGUGUGCUUAAAAAGGAGUAAUUUAAGAAGCCUCCCAUCAGAUUUUUAACAAUUUGACUGCCAUUUCCAAAAGUUUUGAAAAUAUCACUAACUUCCCUUAAAACAUAUGCUUGUAGCAAUUUACCCAAUUCAAAAGAAAAAAGGCAGCAAUAAAAAAAUGAUUUUAGAUGCGAGAAUCUCAUUUGAUUCCAAAAGUGCCCCUUACCUGUAAUAAUAGUUAAUUCAAUUAUUUGAUCUAAUAUAUUAUUUCACUCAUGGGGCCAUUAUUAUAUUUGAUUAAAAAGAAAUUUCUCACCCGCACAGAGUAACUAUAGUAACAGUCCAUUUGGCAAUUAGAACUUUUAAUUUUCUCACCCGCACAGAGUAGCAAUCAUAACACUCAAAUUUUCUUUGACAUUUCACCAAACAUCUUAUAUGUAUUCACAAAUUAAUCACAUUUAACUUAAACGCCUAGUCUCAAGUCAUUUCCUAGAUGUUUCAUAUAGCUAUUAAGCAUAUUUUAUCCGUAGACAAUCAAAACUACAACCAUUUCCUAGAUGUUUCAGUGGACAUUUUCAGCCCCCAAAUUGCAAUAAAAUCUUCAAAUUCUCAGCCUUGAUUUUGCAAGAAAAUCUUGACAAACAAAACAAAUGUAAUAUAAAUAACACACAAAUUUCUCUUUGACAUUUCACCAAACAUCUUAUAUGCAUUCACAAAUUAAUCACAUUUAACUUAAACGCCUAGUCUCAAGUCCUUUCCUAGAUGUUUCAUAUAGUUAUUAAGCAUAUUUUAUCCGUAGACAAUCAAAACUACAACCAUUUCCUAGAUGUUUCAAUGGACAUUUUCAGCCCCAAAAUUGCAAUAAAAGCUUCAAAUUCUCAGCCUUGAUUUCGCAAGAAAAUCUUGACAAACAAAACAAAUGUAAUAUAAAUAACACACAAAUUUCUCUUUGACAUUUCACCAAACAUCUUAUAUGCAUUCACAAAUUAAUCACAUUUAACUUAAACGCCUAGUCUCAAGUCCUUUCCUAGAUGUUUCAUAUGGCUAUUAAGCAUAUUUUACCCGUAGACAAUCAAAAUUACAACCAUUUCCUAGAUGUUUCAGUGGAUAUUUUCAGCCCCAAAAUUGCAACAAAAUCUUCAAACUCUCAGCCUCGAUUUCGCAAGAAAAUCUUGAUAAACAAAACAAAUGAAAUAUAAAUAAAUUACAGAAAUAUAAUCAAACGAUUUCAAGAGGACAUGAUGGUCUAACCUCAUCACUGCUAUUUUUCAUAUGCUCUUUGGUUGGCUACCACCGUCGCUAACCCUUUUAUUGUGUCUGCAUAUGGCAGCACCCAAAAACAGCCGAUCAACACCCAAAAAACAGAAUCAGAUUCGGAGAAUUUAAUAAUUGGCCACCCGGAGGACCCUAUUCCCAACGUAAAUGAUGAGUCGAAUCAAAGUAACAGAUGCUCCCUUUUUAAUGUGUCUGCAUAUGGCAGCACCCAAAAACAGGCAAUCGAUGAGAAAGGAUAGAGGGAAAGUGUGAACUAAAGAUGAAAAUUUUGAAGUGAGAAAAUUUAUUCAAUUGUAACCAAGAGAAAGUGUGGACCAAAGUGGAAACCUUUGCCUGGGAAUUCAAUCGUAUCGUUGGAACUG